rnacentral:rRNA from 1 species
UACGUAGGCAGCGAGCGUUGUUCGGAGUUACUGGGCGUAAAGGGUGUGUAGGCGGUUGUUUAAGUUUGGUGUGAAAUCUCCCGGCUCAACUGGGAGGGUGCGCCGAAGACUGGAAGGCUAGAGUGUGGGAGAGGUAAGCGGAAUUCCUGGUGUAGCGGUGAAAUGCGUAGAUAUCGGGAGGAACACCGGUGGCGAAGGCGGCCUUCUGGACGGAUACUGACGCUGAUACGCGAAAGCGUGGGGAGCAAACAGG